ACAAGCGGUGGAGCAUGUGGUUUAAUCGAAGCGAAACGCGAAGAACCUUACCAGGUCUUGACAUCCCGAUGCUAUUUCCAGAGAUAGAAGUUACUUCGGUACAUCGGUGACAGGUGGUGCAUGGUUGUCGUCAGCUCGUGUCGUGAGAUGUUGGGUUAAGUCCCGCAACGAGCGCAACCCCUAUUGUUAGUUGCCAUCAUUCAGUUGGGCACUCUAGCGAGACUGCCGGUAAUAAACCGGAGGAAGGUGGGGAUGACGUCAAAUCAUCAUGCCCCUUAUGACCUGGGCUACACACGUGCUACAAUGGUUGGUACAACGAGUUGCGAGUCGGUGACGGCGAGCUAAUCUCUUAAAGCCAAUCUCAGUUCGGAUUGUAGGCUGCAACUCGCCUACAUGAAGUCGGAAUCGCUAGUAAUCGCGGAUCAGCACGCCGCGGUGAAUACGUUCCCGGGCCUU
rnacentral:rRNA from 1 species